UUGAGCGAUUUACUUCGGUAAAGAGCGGCGGACGGGUGAGUAACGCGUGGGUAACCUACCCUGUACACACGGAUAACAUACCGAAAGGUAUGCUAAUACGGGAUAAUAUAUUUGAGAGGCAUCUCUUAAAUAUCAAAGGUGAGCCAGUACAGGAUGGACCCGCGUCUGAUUAGCUAGUUGGUAAGGUAACGGCUUACCAAGGCGACGAGCAGUAGCCGACCUGAGAGGGUGAUCGGCCACAUUGGAACUGAGACACGGUCCAAACUCCUACGGGAGGCAGCAGUGGGGAAUAUUGCACAAUGGGCGAAAGCCUGAUGCAGCAACGCCGCGUGAGUG
rnacentral:rRNA from 1 species